rnacentral:rRNA from 1 species
UAGUCCACGCCGUAAACGAUCAUCACUCGCUGUUGGCGAUAUACUGUCAGCGGCCAAGCGAAAGUAUUAAGUGAUGCACCUGGGGAGUACGCCGGCAACGGUGAAACUCAAAGGAAUUGACGGGGGCCCGCACAAGCGGUGGAGCAUGUGGUUUAAUUCGAUGAUACGCGAGGAACCUUACCAGGGCUUAAAUGUAGUAUGACCGGUCUGGAAACAGGCCUUCCCUUCGGGGCAGAUUACAAGGUGCUGCAUGGUUGUCGUCAGCUCGUGCCGUGAGGUGUUAGGUUAAGUCCUGCAACGAGCGCAACCCCUAUUCUUAGUUGCCAGCGGUUCGGCCGGGGACUCUAAGAAGACUGCCAGCGCAAGCUGAGAGGAAGGUGGGGAUGACGUCAAAUCAUCACGGGCCCUUACAUCCUGGGGCCACACACGUGCUACAAUGGUGGGGACAACAGGGUUGCCAACCCGCGAGGGGUGAGCCAAUCCCAAAACCCC